UACGUAGGGUGCAAGCGUUAAUCGGAAUUACUGGGCGUAAAGCGUGCGCAGGCGGUGAUGUAAGACAGUUGUGAAAUCCCCGGGCUCAACCUGGGAACUGCAUCUGUGACUGCAUCGCUGGAGUGCGGCAGAGGGGGGUAGAAUUCCACGUGUAGCAGUGAAAUGCGUAGAGAUGUGGAGGAAUACCGAUGGCGAAGGCAGCCCCCUGGGAUAAUACUGACGCUCAUGCACGAAAGCGUGGGGAGCAAACAGG
rnacentral:rRNA from 1 species